AGUCUUCUGGCUUGAAAACAUAUUAUAUGAAGUUGGAAAAGAAGAAUGUGCCAGAGUGCCAGUUGCAUGAGUGUCACAGUCCCAUGGUCCAUCGCACGUCUUUCCCCCAUCCCCUUCUCCUUUGCUCUGAGAGGGUAUCCACCCUCCGCCGGGCAUCAAGUCUCUUCAGGAUUAGACACAUCCUCUUCCACUAAGGCAAGGCAUGGCAGUCCAUGUGUCAGGGACCUCAGACCUGCUCUGUAUGCUCUUUGGUCGGUGGCUCAGUCUCUGGGAGCUCCCAGAGGUCCAG